rnacentral:rRNA from 1 species
GAUGAACGCUGGCGGCGUGCCUAAUACAUGCAAGUCGAGCGAACAGACGAGGAGCUUGCUCCUUCGACGUUAGCGGCGGACGGGUGAGUAACACGUAGGUAACCUACCUAUAAGACUGGGAUAACUUCGUGAAACCGGAGCUAAUACCGGAUAAUAUUUCGAACCGCAUGGUUCGAUAGUGAAAGAUGGCUUUGCUAUCACUUAUAGAUGGACCUGCGCCGUAUUAGCUAGUUGGUAAGGUAACGGCUUACCAAGGCAACGAUACGUAGCCGACCUGAGAGGGUGAUCGGCCACACUGGAACUGAGACACGGUCCAGACUCCUACGGGAGGCAGCAGUAGGGAAUCUUCCGCAAUGGGCGAAAGCCUGACGGAGCAACGCCGCGUGAGUGAUGAAGGUCUUCGGAUCGUAAAACUCUGUUAUUAGGGAAGAACAAACGUGUAAGUAACUGUGCACGUCUUGACGGUACCUAAUCAGAAAGCCACGGCUAACUACGUG